rnacentral:lncRNA from 1 species
UCCAUGAGGUUUUUGACUACCUUUCCAUAAAACUUAGUUUAAUGAAGCCUGAUUUUCUUCUGUUCUCUAUUCAAGGUGGUUCAUUACAAUCACGGCCUCGUCUUGAUGCCAGCUUGUGGACUUUCAUGAGUUGAACAAACCUAUACGUCAAUCCUAUGAUUCUCCUUCCAGAGGAAGGCUCCUUCUAACUCAGAGCCAAAGUUUAAACAGAGAGAACCAUCAUUUGUGAAAGAGAAGACACAGAGGUGGAAACUAAGUCUGUGCAGUUUACGUGCUACGUUCGGUGCUUGGCAAGUGGGAGGAUUGUGUAUGUUCCGGAUCAAGGCAGGGAUGGGAAUGCUCCUUUUCUUCCACAGUUUAUUUUGAGAAUUCUCAAUGCCAUGAACGUCAAAAGAAUAGUCCAACAAGCAACACUACAUUCUCUGCUAGAGUCACCAGUUAAUAUUUUUCCACAUGUACUUCAUCUCUCUCUUCCUGCCUAUAUGUGUCCCCCUAUAUAUAUAUGUUUGUGUAUCCCACACACAUUCUUCUGACCUACCUAUGUGAAAAUAAGAUGCAAAUGUUGCAACAAUUCGCCUCUAAAUUAUUUAGCAUGUGUCUCCAAGAAGAACUUUUCUUACAUGAUACUACUAGUACACCACAUGGAGUCAACAUUGCUCAGUAAUAUAAUCAAAUAUACAGUCCAUAUUCUAAUUUCUUCAAUUAUUAAAGAAA